rnacentral:rRNA from 1 species
GGAGGUUACUGCUAUCGGUGUUCGCCUAACCCAUGCAAGUCAUAUGUUCUUCGUGAACAUGGCGUACUGCUCAGUAACACGUGAAUAACCUGCCCUUGGGACCGGCAUAACCCCGGGAAACUGGGGAUAAUUCCGGAUACCGCAUAUAUGCUGGAAUGCUUUAUGCGUGAAAUGGAUUCGUCUGCCCAAGGAUGGGUCUGCGGCCUAUCAGGUAGUAGUGGGUGUAAUGUACCUACUACCCUACAACGGGUACGGGUUGUGAAAGCAAAAGCCCGGAAAUGGAUUCUGAAACAUGAAUCCAGGCCCUACGGGGCGCACCAGGCGCGAAAACUUUACAAUGCGGGAAACCGUGAUAAGGGGACACCGAGUGCCACCAACAUUUGUUGGCUGUCCAGGUGUGUAAACUACACCUGUUAGCAAGGGCCGGGCAAGACCGGUGC